rnacentral:lncRNA from 1 species
UUGGAAUAUGGGAUGGGGAUUUGGGGUUGGAAUAUGGGGUACGGAUUUGGGGUUGGAAUAUGGGAUGGGGAUCUGGGGUUGAAUAUGGGAUGGGGAUUUGGGGUUGGAAUAUGGGAUGGGGAUUUGGGGUCGGGAUUGGGUUCAGGUUUUCAGGUUGGGAUGUGGGCUCAUGUUAUGGGGUCAGGAUAUGGGCUCAGGUUAUGGGGUCAGGUUAUAAGGCCAGGAUGUGGGCUCAUGUUAUGGGGUCAGGAUGUGGGUUCAGGUUAUGGGCUCAUGUUAUGGGGUCAGGAUGUGGGUUCAGGUUAUGGGCUCAUGUUAUGGGGUCAGGAUGUGGGCUCCGGUUAUGGGGUCAGGAUGUGGGCUCAGGUUAUGGGCUCAGGUUAUGGUGUCCAGAUCUGGGCUCAGAUUAUGGGGUCUGGAUCUGGACUCAGGUUAUGGGGUCGUGUUAUGGGCUCAGAUUAUGGGGUCUGGAUCUGGGCUCAGGUUAUGGGGUCGUGUUAUGGGCUCAUGUUAUGGGCUCAGGUUAUGGGGCCAGGAUGUGGGCUCAGGUUAUGGGGUCGUGUUAUGGGGUCGCGUUAUGGGCUCAGGUUAUGGGGCCAGGAUGUGGGCUCAGGUUAUGGGCUCAGGUUAUGGGGUCGCGUUGUGGGCUCAGGUUAUGGGGUCAGGCUGUGGGCUCAGGUUAUGGGGCUGGGAUGUUGGCUCAGGUUAUGAGCUCAGGUUAUGGGGUCGCGUUAUGGGGUCGGGUUAUGGGCUCAGGUUAUGGGGCUGGGAUGUGGGCUCAGGUUAUGGGGUCCGGAUCUGGGCUCAGGUUGUGGGUUCAGGUUAUGGGGCUGGGAUGUGGGCUCAGGUUAUGGGGUCAGGUUAUGGGGUCGGGUUAUGGGCUCAGUUAUGGGGUCAGGUUAUGGGCUCAGGUUAUGGGGUCGGGUUAUGGGGUCAGGUUAAGAGCUCAGGUUAAGGGCUCAGUUAUGGGCUCAGGUUAUGGGGUCAGUUAUGGGGUCACGUUAUGGGCUCAGGCUAUGGGGCCGGGUUCUGUGCUCAGUUAUGGGGCCGGGUUCUGUGCUCAGGUUAUGGGCUCAGUUAUGGGGUCAGUUAUGGGGCCAGGUUCUGCGCUCAGUUCUGGGCUCAGUUAUGGGGCCGGGUUAUGGGCUCAGUUAUGGGGUCACGUUAUGGGCUCAGUUCUGGGCUCAGUUAUGGGGCCGGGAUGUGGGUUCAGGUUAUGGGGCCGGGUUCUGCGCUCAGUUAUCGGGCCGGGUUAUGGGCUCAGUUCUGUGCUCAGUUAUGGGGUCGAGUUAUUGGGUCAGGUUAUGGGGUCGUGUUAUGGGCUCAGUUAUGGGGUCAGUUAUGGGGCCAGGUUCUGCGCUCAGUUCUGGGCUCAGUUAUGGGGCCGGGUUCUGGGCUCAGUUCUGGGCUCAGUUCUGGGGUCGGGAUGUGGGUUCAGGUUAUGGGGCCGGGUUCUGUGCUCAGGUUAUGGGGUCGGGUUCUGGGCUCAGUUCUGGGCUCAGUUCUGGGUUCAGAUUAUGGGGCCGGGUUCUGUGCUCAGUUAUGGGGCCGGGUUAUGGGCUCAGUUAUGGGGCCGGGUUCUGUGCUCAGUUCUGGGCUCAGUUAUGGGGCCGGGAUGUGGGUUCAGGUUAUGGGGCUGGGUUCUGUGCUCAAUUCUGGGGCCGGGUUAUGGGCUCAGUUCUGGGCUCAGUUCUGGGUUCAGUUAUGGGUUCAGUUAUGGCGUCACAUUAUGGGCUCAGGUUAUGGGCUCAGGUUAUGGGGCUGGGUUCUGUGCUCAGGUUAUGGGGUCAGGUUAUGGGGUCAGGUUAUGGGGCUGGGUUCUGUGCUCAGUUAUGGGGUCAGGUUAUGGGCUCAGGGUAUGGGCUCAGGUUAUGGGGUCGGGUUAUGGGGUCAGCUAAUGGGCUCAGGUUAUGGGGUCAUGUUAUGGGCUCAGGUUAUGGGCUCAGGUUAUGGGCUCAGGUUUUGGGGUCCGGAUCUGGGCUCAGGUUAUGGGGUCAGGCUGUGGGCUCAGGUUAUGGGGCUGGGAUGUGGGCUCAGGUUAUGGGCUCAGGUUAUGGGCUCAGUUAUGGGCUCAGUUAUGGGGUCAGGUUCUGGGCUCAGUUCUGGGCUCAGUUAUGGGGCCGGGUUCUGGGCUCAGUUAUGGGGUUGGGUUAUGGGCUCAGUUAUGGGGUCAGGUUAAGAGCUCAGGUUAAGGGCUCAGGUUAUGGGCUCAGGUUAUGGGGUCAGUUAUGGGGUCACGUUAUGGGCUCAGGUUAUGGGGCUGGGUUCUGUGCUCAGUUCUGGGCUCAGUUAUGGGGCCGGGUUAUGGACUCAGUUAUGGGGUCACGUUAUGGGCUCAGUUCUGGGCUCAGUUAUGGGGUCGGGAUGUGGGUUCAGGUUAUGGGGCCGGGUUCUGUGCUCAGGUUAUGGGGCCGGGUUCUGGGCUCAGUUAUGGGGCCGGGUUCUGCGCUCAGUUAUCAGGCUGGGUUCUGCGCUCAGUUAUGGGGCCGGGUUAUGGGCUCAGGUUAUGGGGUCGGGUUAUGGGGUCAGGUUAUGGGCUCAGUUAUGGGGCCGGGUUCUGCGCUCAGUUCUGGGCUCAGUUCUGCGCUCAGUUCUGGGCUCAGUUCUGCGCUCAGUUCUGGGCUCAGUUCUGCGCUCAGUUCUGGGCUCGGUUCUGGGCUCGGUUCUGGGCCGGGUUGUGCGCUCAGUUCUGCCCCCCGCAGGACGGGACGCUGUUCGGGGCCGUGGGCGCGUACGACUGGGACGGCGCGGUGCUGCAGGACGGCAGCCGGGGGCGCAGCGUCCCGUCGCGGGAGCGGCUGCGCGCGGAGUUCCGCACCGGGCCGGAGAAGCACGCGGCCUACCUGGGUACCGCGCCGGCGGCAGCACUGCGCCAUGCGGGGCAGCGCGGGGCGCUGUGGGGCGGGGAUGCUCGGCGCUAUGGGGCAGCACUGGGCGCUAUGGGGCAGGGAUGCUCGGCGCUAUGGGGCAGCACUGGGCACUAUGGGGCAGCACUGGGCGCUAUGGGGCAGGACACUCAGCGCUAUGGGGCAGCUCUGGG